AUUUAUCAGUUUAUGUAUUUUUGAAUCUAUUUCUAUUAAAAAAUAUAAGUUGUUCGUAAUUUUUUCUUUGAUUUGCGACAAUUGCCAUAAAAUGCGCAGUUCCGUAGCGAAUGUCAACAUGUCGUUUCCCGUAGAAAACCCCGACAGGAUUGUUUCGUAAAAUCUACAGGCUGUGAUCAUUAUUGAAGCAUUGUAGAAGCCCAGGGAUGAUUAAACCAAUUUUAAGUCACCCAUUUCUUUAUGCCCGGGACACCCGAUCAACCAAAAGAAACUUGAAGGUCACAAACAUGCGAGAUUGCAGACCCACAUUGCCUCGAUCGCCUGAUGUCAUGUCGUGUCACUGUGCAGUGAGAUUUUACAUGCAAAAACAUUGGACUCUCAGCAGGUGAACAGAUGUUCAGCAAGAAAUUCUCACAUCAAAUGCUGUAGAUUACACUGAUAUACCCCCCCCCCCCAAAGAAAAAAAGAACAGAGAGACCAAUCAUUAACAGCUUGAGACUUAGUGCACAUAACCUUGCCACAGAAAAGGGGAUCGAGAGAAUUGCCUAUUAAUACUCCCUAAUGAAAGAUUUUAUAAAUUAUUUGUAACACAGGGGAGAUUUAAGAUGGUUUUUAUUUUCAAUUCAGCUACCAAAAAUACAAUAAUUAUAAGAUAACUUUUGAAAGGAAGUUGAUGUAUUUUUUUCUUGAAAGGAAAAGUAUCAAAUUUGUCUCAUAUACCUUUGAUAGUCAUGUCCAGAAAUACUGAAAAUAACACUUAUUUAUUAAGAAAUAUCAUAUAUUUAGAAAUCAUUUUUAUACAUAAUUAUUGUGUAUUAUUGUGUAAAUUAUCUUAUUGUAUGAUUUAUGUAUAGCCUCAAAAUCUAGAAACAGUGUAUUGUUUAAAAUUUUAUGAAUAAUUGCUGAUUCUUAUACCAGUAUGUUGCGCCUUUAACAAUUAUUGUAAUUGUGUUAGCGCCGAUAAAUAUUUAUAUACAUAAUUAUACUUCUCUGGUAUAUAUACAUGCAUGUGAUAUAUUUGUUCAUGUACAAUACAUCUAUUAAUUAAGAUUCCAUAA